CAUGGCUCAGGACGAACGCUGGCGGCGUGCUUAACACAUGCAAGUCGAGCGAGGUCCAUCCAGUGGCAACACUGGGGAAGACCUAGCGGCGAACGGGUGAGUAACACGUGAGCAACCUGCCCCGAAGACUGGGAUAACACCGGGAAACCGGUGCUAAUACCGGAUGUCCUCCUCUGGUCGCAUGGCCUAGGGAGGAAACGAAUUUUGCUCCUGGAGGGGCUCGCGGGCUAUCAGCUUGUUGGUGGGGUAACGGCUCACCAAGGCGACGACGGCUAGCUGGUCUGAGAGGACGACCAGCCACACUGGGACUGAGACACGGCCCAGACUCCUACGGGAGGCAGCAGUGGGGAAUCUUGCGCAAUG
rnacentral:rRNA from 1 species